rnacentral:rRNA from 1 species
CGCUGGCGGCGUGCUUAACACAUGCAAGUCGAACGGAGAUUACCACCUGCUUGCAGGAGGUAAAUCUAGUGGCGGACGGGUGAGUAACGCGUGGGUAACCUGCCUCACGACAGGGGGAUAACAGUUGGAAACGACUGUUAAUACCGCAUAAGCGCACGGUAUCGCAUGAUACAGUGUGAAAAACUCCGGUGGUGUGAGAUGGACCCGCGUCUGAUUAGCUAGUUGGUGAGGUAACGGCCCACCAAGGCGACGAUCAGUAGCCGGCCUGAGAGGGUAAACGGCCACAUUGGGACUGAGACACGGCCCAAACUCCUACGGGAGGCAGCAGUGGGGAAUAUUGCACAAUGGGGGAAACCCCGAUGCAAGCGACGCCGCGUGAGUGAUGAAGUAUUUCGGUACGUAAAACUCUAUCAGCAGGGAAGAAAAUGACGGUACCUGACUAAGAAGCACCGGCUAAAUACGUGCCAGCAGCUGC